GGGAUUUCACAAAGUGUGGAGUACAGACACAACAUUUACAAGGAUGGCACAGGGGAAGGACCUUGCUCAGAAGUGGUAGGAGUUAGUACCAACAAGAGAGAGAUGCAAAAGAAAGGGCUAGGUGGAAUAUCCGGUGAUGGAGGCCUCAGAAGUUGGAUCCAAAGGACUAGGAGAUUGCAAUGCCCGUUGUACCAGAGUUUCAUCAUGAAAGUCGUCUGUUCUUUGCUGGUAAUUUCUACAUGUUUAUUUAUUUAUUUGUUUCCCCCACUUUUUGAAGCUUACUGGUUAGCAGAUGGUUAAACUAACCUUUAAAAGCAUUUUGGAACUUAGCUGACUGUGUUUGUGCUGGUUUAAGUGUCGUGUCCCUGCCGGUUUCAUCCGAGCUGCUCUGACAUGGUGUUCACAGGUUGGUCACCAGUUUCCUCUCUCCUGUGUUUAUAUUUUCAUUUCAAGCAUUUUUAAUUAUUGUUAUUCUAUCAAGAUAUGUGUUGUGUCUUAUUUUGUCAACAUGUAUUGUUUUUGUCAUUUUUAUGUAUGUUUGAUUUGGGGGCUUCCUCCAGGUCUAAUUUGAAAUGGGCUGAAUGCUAGCAGGAAUACAGUUGUAAGCAAAAUAUAAAUAAAUAAAUAAAUACUUUUAAAAAUACAUA